UCGCUGAACCUUUUCCAUUUCUUGUAUGAGCUCAACUUUUUGCGGAGACCAUAGUUGGCUUGCGUACGAGAAAUUGGAUCGAACAAUUGUGAGCUAAAGCAGCCGCCUAGUUUGAGGAUUUAGUAAUUCUAAAGUACACCGUCUAAGCAGACCUAACAUUUUAUUGGCUUUUUUGCAAAUUUUAUACGUAUGAUCACUCCAGUCAAGGUUGGACGUGACUAAAACUCCAAGGUCAUUAACUUUGCUGACCAAAGGUAAGGGCGUAUCAUUCAGACCAAAGGUAAUGGCGUAUCAUUACAGUAAACUUUUUUUUUAUAUUGUACAAUAUGCCAAGUUUAAUUAGGAAUGAAUAACAUUUAGGAUGAGCAAACUGAAUUUAGUUUUUCAUCUCCAACUAAAUGUAGCCUUGUUGAUGCCAAAUGUUAUUCUUUGCUGAUACCAAAUAAUUUCCUUGUGCGCUGCCUACACAUUGUUACAAGUGUCACACAAGGGGGGGG